rnacentral:tRNA from 1 species
GAGCCUGUAGCUCAGCCAGGUUUAGAGCGCUGCUCUGAUAAGGCAGAGGUCCACGGUUCAAAUCCGUGCAGGCUCA